rnacentral:rRNA from 1 species
UAGAGAAUACCAAGGCGCUUGAGAGAACCCGGGUGAAGGAACUAGGCAAAAUGGUGCCGUAACUUCGGGAGAAGGCACGCUGACACGUAGGUGAAGCGGUUUACCCGUGGAGCUGAAGUCAGUCGAAGAUACCAGCUGGCUGCAACUGUUUAUUAAAAACACAGCACUGUGCAAACACGAAAGUGGACGUAUACGGUGUGACGCCUGCCCGGUGCCGGAAGGUUAAUUGAUGGGGUCAGCGCAAGCGAAGCUCCUGAUCGAAGCCCCGGUAAACGGCGGCCGUAACUAUAACGGUCCUAAGGUAGCGAAAUUCCUUGUCGGGUAAGUUCCGACCUGCACGAAUGGCGUAAUGAUGGCCAGGCUGUCUCCACCCGGGACUCAGUGAAAUUGAACUCGCUGUGAAGAUGCAGUGUACCCGCGGCAAGACGGAAAGACCCCGUGAACCUUUACUAUAGCUUGACACUGAACACUGGUCCUUGAUGUGCAGGAUAGGUGGGAGGCUUUGAAGUGUGGACGCCAGUCUGCAUGGAGCCGUCCUUGAAAUACCACCCUUUAAUGGCUGGUGUUCUAACGUAGACCCGUGAACCGGGUUGCGGACAGUGUCUGGUGGGUAGUUUGACUGGGGCGGUCUCCUCCUAAAGCGUAACGGAGGAGCACGAAGGUUGGCUAAUCCUGGUCGGACAUCAGGAGGUUAGUGCAAUGGCAUAAGCCAGCUUGACUGCGAGCGUGACGGCGCGAGCAGGUGCGAAAGCAGGUCAUAGUGAUCCGGUGGUUCUGAAUGGAAGGGCCAUCGCUCAACGGAUAAAAGGUACUCCGGGGAUAACAGGCUGAUACCGCCCAAGAGUUCAUAUCGACGGCGGUGUUUGGCACCUCGAUGUCGGCUCAUCACAUCCUGGGGCUGAAGUAGGUCCCAAGGGUAUGGCUGUUCGCCAUUUAAAGUGGUACGCGAGCUGGGUUUAGAACGUCGUGAGACAGUUCGGUCCCUAUCUGCCGUGGGCGCUGGAGAACUGAGGGGGGCUGCUCCUAGUACGAGAGGACCGGAGUGGACGCAUCACUGGUGUUCGGGUUGUCAUGCCAAUGGCACUGCCCGGUAGCUAAAUGCGGAAGAGAUAAGUGCUGAAAGCAUCUAAGCACGAAACUUGCCCCGAGAUGAGUUCUCCCUGAGACUACAAGUCUCCUGAAGGAACGUUGAAGACGACGACGUUGAUAGGCCGGGUGUGUAAGCGCAGCGAUGCGUUGAGCUAACCGGUACUAAUGAACCGUGAGGCUUAACCUUACAAC